UGCUUAGAAAAAUUCUUAGUGGCGGACGGGUGAGUAACGCGUGGGUAACCUACCCAUAAAUCCGGGACAACCCUUGGAAACGAGGGCUAAUACCGGAUAAUCUUAGAGCCUGGCAUCAGGCAUUAAGGAAAGAUGGCCUCUGAAGAUGCUAUCGAUUAUGGAUGGACCCGCGUCUGAUUAGCUAGUUGGUGGGGUAAAGGCCUACCAAGGCGACGAUCAGUAGCCGGCCUGAGAGGGUGAACGGCCACACUGGGACUGAGACACGGCCCAGACUCCUACGGGAGGCAGCAGUGGGGAAUCUUCCGCAAUGGACGAAAGUCUGACGGAGCAACGCCGCGUGUAUGAUGAAGGUCUUCGGAUUGUAAAGUACUGUCUUUGGGGAAGAACGGUGGCUUUGAAAAUAUUGAGNCCACAUGACGGUACCCAAGGAGGAAAGCCCCGGCUAAUUACGUGCCAGCAGCCGCGGUAAUACGUAGGGGGCAAGCGUUGUCCGGAAUUAUUGGGCGUAAAGGGCGCGUAGGCGGAUUGUUAAGUCCGGUGUGAAAGAUCAGGGCUCAACCCUGAGAGUGCAUCGGAAACUGGGAAUCUUGAGGACAGGAGAGGAAAGUGGAAUUCCACGUGUAGCGGUGAAAUGCGUANAUAU
rnacentral:rRNA from 1 species